AAACUAGUAUUUAUAAAUUUUAAUUUUCUCGAAUUUAGAAGAGCUAAUUGAUUAUAGUUAUUAUCGUUGAAUAGAUAUUUUUAAUAAUCAAUUAGAGGCGAAACGUUAUUCGUUUCUUAAUAUAUCUAGUUUUUUUAGAAACAGAUUUAAUCUGCUUUAUUUAUAUAAUUUUUCAUUUUUUUGAUUAAUUGUAGAAAUAUUGUUAUUUCUUGAGGGAUGAGCUUCAAGAUAAACCACUAAAAGCACGAAUCAACUACAAAAUAUAUAGGAUUAGAAGUUUCCAUUGUUUAGAAAAUGUUAUAAUUUAUUUUGUUUUGUUUUUAUUUCUAUUUUGUUUAGAUUUUCUAUAAAAAUAUUUUCCUAAAUUUUUUAGGUUUAGUAAUUAUGAUAGAAUUAGUAUAUUUAUUUGUUUGGUUGGUUCUUAAAUUUUAGGUUAAUAAAAGGAACUCGGCAAAUUAUUUUUCACCUGUUUAUUAAAAACAUGUCCUUUUGAUUAUGAUUUAAGGUCUGUCCUGCCCACUGAUUUUUUGAAUGGCCGCGGUAUUCU
rnacentral:rRNA from 1 species